rnacentral:rRNA from 1 species
GCUCAGGACGAACGCUGGCGGCGUGCCUAAUACAUGCAAGUCGAACGCUUUUUCUUUCACCGGAGCUUGCUCCACGAAAGAAAAAGAGUGGCGAACGGGUGAGUAACACGUGGGUAACCUGCCCAUCAGAAGGGGAUAACACUUGGAAACAGGUGCUAAUACCGUAUAACACUAUUUUCCGCAUGGAAGAAAGUUGAAAGGCGCUUUUGCGUCACUGAUGGAUGGACCCGCGGUGCAUUAGCUAGUUGGUGAGGUAACGGCUCACCAAGGCAACGAUGCAUAGCCGACCUGAGAGGGUGAUCGGCCACACUGGGACUGAGACACGGCCCAGACUCCUACGGGAGGCAGCAGUAGGGAAUCUUCGGCAAUGGACGAAAGUCUGACCGAGCAACGCCGCGUGAGUGAAGAAGGUUUUCGGAUCGUAAAACUCUGUUGUUAGAGAAGAACAAGGAUGAGAGUAAAAUGUUCAUCCCUUGACGGUAUCUAACCAGAAAGCCACGGCUAACUACGUGCCAGCAGCCGCGGUAAUACGUAGGUGGCAAGCGUUGUCCGGAUUUAUUGGGCGUAAAGCGAGCGCAGGCGGUUUCUUAAGUCUGAUGUGAAAGCCCCCGGCUCAACCGGGGAGGGUCAUUGGAAACUGGGAGACUUGAGUGCAGAAGAGGAGAGUGGAAUUCCAUGUGUAGCGGUGAAAUGCGUAGAUAUAUGGAGGAACACCCAGUGGCGAAGGCGGCUCUCUGGUCUGUAACUGACGCUGAGGCUCGAAAGCGUGGGGAGCGAACAGGAUUAGAUACCCUG